CACGGAGCGGCGGGGCCGGGCCGGGCCGGGCUGGGUGGCGCGGCGGUCCGAGCUCCCCGCCCUGCUGGGCCGGCGUCGUGUUCUCUCUCGUACCGCCAAAGCUCAGUCUCGGCAGUGUCACUCGCGCCCUUGACCAGCGAGCCCGCUGGAAUUUAGUGACUGGGAUCGACGUCGCCGUUCGCAGUAAAGGGGAGCGCACGGACUCGGGGAAGGUCCCGUUCUCUGGUGAGGAGGUGGCCGCCCGCGCUCUGGAAGCAGGGGAGUUCAGGGUUACCUGGAUCGUUUCCAGAGUCCCAUUUUGGACUUCAGAAGCUGUGUGGGUACCUACAUCCCAUCUGUAGCCUCGAACUGGCUCCUCCUGGGGAGGAGAUUGCCUGGGGUAAGAAGCUCGGAGAUCAUCCUGACAUCACUGCAACCAUGAUUUCACCAGGCUCGUGCCCUGUGAGGUUAUUGCGAUCUGAAAUCUCUGCUGCUGGAAAGAGGAAUUUAUUCACAAGACUCUAAUCUAGGAUGACCCUUCACUCCUACAAACCUGCUGAUGAGUGAUGGCAGUGUCCCCCAAGUCGAGCUCACAACAUGCUCAGGAGCUGCCUUCCUCUGGAGCAUCCUGGAUCACAGCCCCAAGGCCCUGAGUGCAAGGUGUACGUGUGAACCAACAGUGAAGCACACAC